rnacentral:rRNA from 1 species
UGGGGAAUAUUGGACAAUGGGCGCAAGCCUGAUCCAGCCAUGCCGCGUGAGUGAUGAAGGCCCUAGGGUUGUAAAGCUCUUUCACCGGUGAAGAUAAUGACGGUAACCGGAGAAGAAGCCCCGGCUAACUUCGUGCCAGCAGCCGCGGUAAUACGAAGGGGGCUAGCGUUGUUCGGAUUUACUGGGCGUAAAGCGCACGUAGGCGGACUAUUAAGUCAGGGGUGAAAUCCCGGGGCUCAACCCCGGAACUGCCUUUGAUACUGGUAGUCUUGAGUUCGAGCGGGGUGAGUGGAAUUCCGCGUGUAGGGGUGAAAUUCGUAGAUAUUCGGAGGAACACCAGUGGCGAAGGCGGCUCACUGGCUCGAUUCUGACGCUGGGUUGCGAAAGCGUGGGGAGCAAACAGG